rnacentral:rRNA from 1 species
UACGGGGGGAGCAAGCGUUGUUCGGAUUUACUGGGCGUAAAGGGCGCGUAGGCGGCGUGACAAGUCACUUGUGAAAUCUCCGGGCUUAACCCGGAGCGGCCAAGUGAUACUGUCGGGCUAGAGUGCGGAAGAGGCGAGUGGAAUUCCUGGUGUAGCGGUGAAAUGCGCAGAUAUCAGGAGGAACACCUAUUGCGAAGGCAGCUCGCUGGGACGUUACUGACGCUGAGACGCGAAAGCGUGGGGAGCAAACAGG